UAGGAAAUUCCUACCUGAUUCUCUCCUACA
rnacentral:piRNA from 1 species